AGGGUUCGAUUCCGGCUCAGGAUGAACGCUGGCGGCGUGCCUAAUACAUGCAAGUGAAACGGGUAUCUUCGGAUACCAGUCGCGGACGGGUGAGUAAUACAUAGGCAACCUGCCUUUAUGAGGGGGAUAACCGAGGGAAACUUUGGCUAAUACCGCAUGAAGACUCUAAGGCAUCUUAGAGGGAUAAAAGUUGGGAAACAACGCAUGAAGAUGGGCUUAUGGCGCAUUAGCUAGUUGGUGAGAUAGAAGCCCACCAAGGUAAUGAUGCGUAGCCGACCUGAGAGGGUGAACGGCCACAUUGGGACUGAGACACGGCCCAAACUCCUACGGGAGGCAGCAGUAGGGAAUUUUCGGCAAUGGGGGGAACCCUGACCGAGCAACGCCGCGUGAAGGAAGAAGGUUUUCGGAUUGUAAACUUCUGUUAUAAGGGAAGAACGGAUUGGAUAGGGAAUGAUCUGAUAGUGACGGUACCUUAUUAGAAAGCCACGGCUAACUACGUGCCAGCCGCUGC
rnacentral:rRNA from 1 species